UGGGGAAUAUUGGACAAUGGAGGAAACUCUGAUCCAGCAAUUCUGUGUGUGUGAAGAAGGUUUUAGGACUGUAAAACACUUUUAGUAGGGAAGAAAAAAAUGACGGUACCUACAGAAGAAGCAACGGCUAAAUACGUGCCAGCAGCCGCGGUAAUACGUAUGUUGCGAGCGUUAUCCGGAAUUAUUGGGCUUAAAGGGCAUCUAGGCGGUAAGACAAGUUGAAGGUGAAAACCUGUGGCUCAACCAUAGGCUUGCCUACAAAACUGUUGAACUAGAGUACUUGAAAGGUGGGUGGAACUACACGAGUAGGGGUGAAAUUCGUAGAUAUGUGUAGGAAUGCCGAUGAUGAAGAUAACUCACUGGACAGAAACUGACGCUGAAGUGCGAAAGCUAGGGGAGCAAACAGG
rnacentral:rRNA from 1 species